CCUACGGGUGGCAGCAGUGAGGAAUAUUGGUCAAUGGACGAGAGUCUGAACCAGCCAAGUAGCGUGAAGGAUGACUGCCCUAUGGGUUGUAAACUUCUUUUAUAUGGGAAUAAAACGUUCCACGUGUGGGCUUUUGUAUGUACCAUAUGAAUAAGGAUCGGCUAACUCCGUUCCAGCAGCCGCGGUAAUACGGAGGAUCCGAGCGUUAUCCGGAUUUAUUGGGUUUAACGGGAGCGUAGGGGGUGUGUUAAGUCAGUUGUGAAAGUUUGCGACGCAACCGUAAAACUGCAGUUGAAACUGGCAGUCUGGAGUACAGGAGAGGUGGGCGGAAUUCGUGGUGUAGCGGUGAAAUGCAUAGAUAUCACGAAGAACUCCGAUUGCGAAGGCAGUUCACUGGACCGCAACUGACACUGAGGCUCGAAAGUGUGGGUAUCAAACAGGAUUAGAUACCCCUGUAGUC
rnacentral:rRNA from 1 species